rnacentral:misc_RNA from 1 species
AGUCGUAACAAGGUUUCCGUAGGUGAACCUGCGGAAGGAUCAUUACCGAGUGCGGGUCCUUCGGGGCCCAACCUCCCACCCGUGUCUACCGUACCGUGUUGCUUCGGCGGGCCCGCCGCAAGGCCGCCGGGGGGCGUCACCCCGCCCCCGGGCCCGCGCCCGCCGGAGACCCUUUGAACGCUGAUCUGUGAAGGCGUGUCGUCUGAGUCGCGUGAGAAAUCGUGAAAACUUUCAACAACGGAUCUCUUGGUUCCGGCAUCGAUGAAGAACGCAGCGAAAUGCGAUAAGUAAUGUGAAUUGCAGAAUUCCGUGAAUCAUCGAAUCUUUGAACGCACAUUGCGCCCUCUGGUAUUCCGGGGGGCAUGCCUGUCCGAGCGUCAUUGCUGCCCUCAAGCACGGCUUGUGUGUUGGGCCGCCGUCCCCGCCCUCCGCGGGGGGACGGGCCCGAAAGGCAGCGGCGGCGCCGCGUCCGGUCCUCGAGCGUAUGGGGCUCUGUCACCCGCUCUGCAGGCCCGGCCGGCGCCCGCCGAGUCAACCACUUCUUUCCAGGUUGACCUCGGAUCAGGUAGGGAUACCCGCUGAACUUAAGCAUAUCAAUAAGCGGAGGAA